rnacentral:lncRNA from 1 species
CUAAAAUGAGAUUGAUGACUACUCUUUAUGCCAUCCUAGAGCCCUCAUCCAGUGGCUGAUGGAAGCAGAGACAGACAUCCACAGAUAUACACUGGGUUGAAAUCUGUACUUUAGUUGAAGAGAGGGAGGAAUGAAGAGCGAAGGGGUCUGUACCAGGUUGGAGAAACCCACAGAAACAGUUGGCCUGAACAAGGGAGAGCACAACGACCCCAGAUGCUGUCUGGGAGGGACCAACAAAGGAACUAUAAAAACUAGAUGGUGGUGUCUUACCGUAGCAGUGUCAAGGAGAGAAGUAUCAUUGGGCCUGUAUGCAAGUAUGCAAACUAUCCGCUGGAACCCGUGAAAUAUUGUAGCACUGGCCGUUACUACAUAAGUCAAAAUAAAUCCUCGGUCCCUUGGGAUGUUUCUGUAAAGCUCACUGUUACAGUACAUAAAAGAGAGAGGAUCUUGAGAAGAUGACCAACAAUACAAUAGAACAGAUUUGCAGAACCAUCUCACUGAGGCUGUCACUCAGGACAUCCAGAAAUAUCCAGCAUCUUCAAAUUUGCCUUCUAUAGAAAUUGCCUUCAAAACCAGGAAGACAAAUAUAGUACAUACUCACUCAUAGGUGGAUAUCAGACAUAAAGCAAAAGAUACUCUACAAUCCACAACCCCAGAGAAGCUAGAACCCUCUCCCAGAAACAGAUGGAAGCAGAUGCAGUAAUCUACAGCUAACUAUUGGGCCAAGCUCCUAGAGUUCAAUCGAAGUGAGGGGGGAGAGAAAAUGUGAACAAAGGAGUCAAGACCAUGAUGGGGGAAACCACAGAAUCAGCUGACCUGAACUAGUGAGAGAUCGCUGAAUCAG